rnacentral:rRNA from 1 species
UACAGGGGGGGCAAGCGUUGUUCGGAAUUACUGGGCGUAAAGGGCUCGUAGGCGGCCAACUAAGUCACACGUGAAAUCCCCAGGCUUAACCUGGGAACUGCGUGUGAUACUGGAUGGCUUGAAUUCGGGAGAGGGAUGCAGAAUUCCAGGUGUAGCGGUGAAAUGCGUAGAUAUCUGGAGGAAUACCGGUGGCGAAGGCGGCAUCCUGGACCGACAUUGACGCUGAUGCGCGAAAGCGUGGGUAGCAAACAGG